rnacentral:rRNA from 1 species
GAUCCUGGCUCAGGACGAACGCUGGCGGCAUGCCUAACACAUGCAAGUCGAACGGAGAUUACUUCGGUAAUCUUAGUGGCGAACGGGUGAGUAACGCGUGGGCAACCUGCCCUCUAGAUGGGGACAACAUCCCGAAAGGGGUGCUAAUACCGAAUGUGACAGCAAUCUCGCAUGGGGAUGCUGUGAAAGAUGGCCUCUAUUUAUAAGCUAUCGCUAGAGGAUGGGCCUGCGU